UGAGCCAUCAUGCCCAGCCACCUGUCUAAGUGACAACUUCCCUGGGGAUCCGUUUCCUUGUUAAUAAUAGCUACCACUUCUAUGGUGCUUGGGACUUUACAUUGAUCAAUUUAUUUAAUUAUCACAACAAACUUCUGAGGUUGGUUCUGUUAUUCUCUCCAACCUGCAGAUGAGAAAACUGAGGUGCAAGAAGAUAGAUGACCCUUCCAAGGUCACUCAUCGGUUGGACCCAAAAUUGGAACCCAUAGAAUUGACCCCUGGAAUCUCCUUUCUCCUGAUAAAAUAGAAACAGUUGCUCCAACGGGACUGGGAUCCAACUAGGUCAUGAUCUGAGCCCCACAUUAUGGUAUGGACUCAACCACAACUUUUCUGCUACAAAUCAUCCUGUGAUUCUGUUUCACUCCAAGUCAAAGCUAAAAUUCUUCCCAAGGCCUAUGAGGCCCCACAUGAUCUGGCCCCCCACCUCUCUGGCCUUGCCUCUUUGCCUCCCCACUGCCCCCGCUUCACUCUUCUUCACGGAUGUCCUCAGUGGCACUCUCUGUCCCACCUCAGGGCCCUUGCACAUGCCGUGCCCUGCCUGGCACUCUUCCCUGGGAUUCUCACGGCUCUCUACCUGUUCCCUUUCAGGUCUCUGUUCUUUCCUCCUCUAUUUUUCCGCCUUAGCACUUACAGCUCUCUAACAUACCACAUAACUUGCUUAUUUAUCUUGCUAAUGGCCUGUGUUCCCCAACAAAAUAAAACCUCUGUGAGAUCAGA